rnacentral:tRNA from 1 species
GGGGAUUUAGCUCAGCGGCAUAAGCGCCUGCCUUGCAAACAGGCAGUCGUGAGUUCAAUCCCCA